rnacentral:rRNA from 1 species
GAUGAACGCUAGCGGCAGGCCUAACACAUGCAAGUCGAGGGAGAAGCCCUUCGGGGCAGAAACCGGCGCACGGGUGCGUAACGCGUAUGCAACCUACCUUUCACAGGGGGAUAGCCCGAAGAAAUUUGGAUUAAUACCCCAUAAUAUUAUUGGAUGGCAUCAUUUGAUAAUUAAAAUUACGAUGGUGAAAGAUGGGCAUGCGUCCUAUUAGCUAGUUGGAGUGGUAACGGCACCCCAAGGCUACGAUAGGUAGGGGUCCUGAGAGGGAGAUCCCCCACACUGGUACUGAGACAGGGACCAGACUCCUACGGGAGGCAGCAGUGAGGAAUAUUGGUCAAUGGUCGGAAGACUGAACCAGCCGUGCCGCGUGCAGGAAGAAUGCCUUAUGGGUUGUAAACUGCUUUUAUAUGGGAAGAAUAAGGAGUACGUGUACUUUGANGACGGUNCCA